AUCACCCUGGCCUCCCGAUCCGUCCGCGCCGCCACUCUGGUGUAGGCAUUCGCGAAGUCCGGCGCUGUGCCUCCGCUCACGCUUCCGUCCGGCACCACACCCGUCUCUGACGACGAUACCUUUUCCGAUCCAACCGCAAUUGAGAGCUGUAGGAGGGGUUCGAUUGGCCGCGGUCAAGCUCGACGGAGGCAUCGGGCUGGAGGAACGACGGAGGCGGCCGAGAUUCGAUGACUCCGGCGUGCUUGGAGAGGAAGGGAACGACGCUGUCCGUCUGGUGGAUUUGCGCUUCUAUCGAAGCGGCGUAUUCCAUGCCAAGGCACGAAUCCACGUCCGACAAGAGGUAAUCCGUAUAGUUAAGCUCCGGCACUGCUCCGAUCUGCUUGGGUCGACUCGAGAGGAGAAACGACUCGGCCUUGGCCGCCGCGUCCGUCGCCGCCUCUUCCUCGUUGAUCAGGAACGCGGCCACGGCGGAGUAGGGUUUGAGAGGCUCGAGGAAGGGGAGGAGCGGUGCGCGGUCGUGGCGGCGGGCUAGGGGGUUGGCGCAGUGGAUGUCGGCGUCGCAGGCGACGCAGAGCGCCGCCGCGUCCGCCUUGCAGGUGACCGCGGCGGGCGCCUGCUCGCACACCUCGCAGAUCCAAACGCGCUCGUGACGCCUGCCGCCGGCGAACGCCUCCGUCCCGCCGUGCACCCUCGCGUCGCACCCGCCGCAGAGGUACGCCGCGUGCGCGCCGCAGUACAGCGCCGCCGCCGCCGACUUGCACGCGUCGCACCUCCUUCGCUCCCAAAUUCUUCUUUUCGCCUCCGCUUCACUCGCCAUUUGCUCUUCCUUUCGAGUUUAACUUCAAAAAUCGUCUUAACGAGUUAAAUAGAAGAAGACGAUGAUGAUUGGAAGAAGACUAAUCACCCCGGCGACUGCGUCAGAGUGUUACUUCCCCACCCGUUGUCUGAUUGGAAAAAAGAUCGUGGGACCAUUCGGGUCCGCUGGUUUGACGAGUGAUAGAGCGGGUGGCGUGUAACUCGGAAAAACUCGGUGACGGUUAACUUUGACAUAGUUUAGCCAGACCGAUGGAUACGUGGUGGCUCCGAGACCUCGCGAAAAGAUACGGGAACUUUAAAACGGGUCGGCAUUGGUGGCACCGCAUCCACGUAGUGUCGCUGUGCCGACGUGGGCCCCGUGAGCCACAAGGUGUGCAAAAUCUUCAAUUAAUUAUUAUCUCAUCUCUUAUUUAAUAUUUAUAAUUCCCUAUUCAGUGCUACAAUUACUAACGCAAGCCCCGGAUUGGUAUAAUUUUUGUUCCAAUAAAUUUUAGAAUUAAUUUUCAACUAAUAUAAAAUAUUUAAUUAGAUAUUAGAUCUUUGUGUAGGUUAAAAUAGCCUCAUAAUUUAUCUAUAUCUUAUAGCGAUAUCAUUUUUCUUUAAUAAUUAGUAACAUGUGAAAUAAUUAAACUCCAAAUAGUUCCAAAAUCCAGGUCAGAUAUAUUUGACUACUAUCUGUCAUUAUUAUUUAGAUAUUAAACGUGUGGCCCCAGUUAAACUAGAGCCCAUUUUUAUUUUUCUGGGGUCGAUUAAUUAAUUCCGAAAGCAGAGUCUUCCUGACGAUGGCGAUGACGUCACCGCUCCUUCAAUUGCCAUUUGCGCCAGAGUUCAGGACAGGCGACGGCUUCAUCCUCCAACGACAGGCGCCUCCGUUGAGGCGCGGAGGCUGCAGAGCGGCCCGGCUAAUGUUUUCCUACUGAAUUGUUGCAGGGGAUCCGCGAAGCCGCGCGUGCCAAAAGGUUGUGGGGCCCGGUUAUUAAUUGGGCAAAUUACGCUAUGUCUUAACAGUGACUGCUAUCCGUUUGGCCAGCGUAUAUAUCGGACUCUUGAUUCAAUAUGUAUUUUUACCUUUUUUUGUUUUUAAAAAAAGACGGAAAUAUAAUUUCUUACUUCUUUUAUAUCCUUCUAA